rnacentral:rRNA from 1 species
AGUGAACGCUGGCGGUAGGCCUAACACAUGCAAGUCGAACGGCAGCACAGUAAGAGCUUGCUCUUACGGGUGGCGAGUGGCGGACGGGUGAGGAAUACAUCGGAAUCUACUUUUUCGUGGGGGAUAACGUAGGGAAACUUACGCUAAUACCGCAUACGACCUACGGUUGAAAGCAGGGGAUCUUCGGACCUUGCGCGAUUGAAUGAGCCGAUGUCGGAGUAGCUAGUUGGCGGGGUAAAGGCCCACCAAGGCGACGAUCCGUAGCUGGUCUGAGAGGAUGAUCGGCCACACUGGAACUGAGACACGGUCCAGACUCCUACGGGAGGCAGCAGUGGGGAAUAUUGGACAAUGGGCGCAAGCCUGAUCCAGCCAUACCGCGUGGGUGAAGAAGGCCUUCGGGUUGUAAAGACCUUUUGUUGGGAAAGAAAAGCAGCAGGUUAAUACCCCGCUGUUCUGACGGUACCCAAAGAAUAAGCACCGGCUAACUUCGUG